rnacentral:tRNA from 1 species
GGGGCGGUGGCGAAAUGGCAGACGCUGCGGACUUAAAAUCCGCUGGAACCCAAUCCAUGAGGGUUCGAGUCCCUCCCGCCCCA